rnacentral:rRNA from 1 species
CAGUGCUGCAGCUAACGCAUUAAGCACUCCGCCUGGGGAGUACGACCGCAAGGUUGAAACUCAAAGGAAUUGACGGGGGCCCGCACAAGCGGUGGAGCAUGUGGUUUAAUUCGAAGCAACGCGAAGAACCUUACCAGGUCUUGACAUCCUUUGACCACUCUAGAGAUAGAGCUUCCCCUUCGGGGGCAAAGUGACAGGUGGUGCAUGGUUGUCGUCAGCUCGUGUCGUGAGAUGUUGGGUUAAGUCCCGCAACGAGCGCAACCCUUAUUGUUAGUUGCCAUCAUUUAGUUGGGCACUCUAGCAAGACUGCCGGUGACAAACCGGAGGAAGGUGGGGAUGACGUCAAAUCAUCAUGCCCCUUAUGACCUGGGCUACACACGUGCUA